rnacentral:rRNA from 1 species
AACGAACGCUGGCGGCAUGCCUAACACAUGCAAGUCGAACGAAGGCUUCGGCCUUAGUGGCGCACGGGUGCGUAACGCGUGGGAAUCUGCCCUUGGGUUCGGAAUAACUCAGAGAAAUUUGAGCUAAUACCGGAUGAUGACGUAAGUCCAAAGAUUUAUCGCCCAAGGAUGAGCCCGCGUAGGAUUAGCUUGUUGGUGAGGUAAAGGCUCACCAAGGCGACGAUCCUUAGCUGGUCUGAGAGGAUGAUCAGCCACACUGGGACUGAGACACGGCCCAGACUCCUACGGGAGGCAGCAGUGGGGAAUAUUGGACAAUGGGCGAAAGCCUGAUCCAGCAAUGCCGCGUGAGUGAUGAAGGCCUUAGGGUUGGUAAAGCUCUUUUACCCGGGAUGAUAAUGACAGUACCGGGAGAAUAAGCUCCGGCUAACUCCGUG